GACGAACGCUGGCGGCGUGCCUAAUACAUGCAAGUCGAGCGGAAGUUGGAGAGCUUGCUCUUCAACUUUAGCGGCGGACGGGUGAGUAACACGUGGGCAACCUGCCCUGCAGAUCGGGAUAACUCCGGGAAACCGGUGCUAAUACCGAAUAGUUUUCGCCACCUCCUGGUGGCGUACGGAAAGACGGUUUCGGCUGUCACUGCAGGAUGGGCCCGCGGCGCAUUAGCUAGUUGGUGGGGUAACGGCCCACCAAGGCAACGAUGCGUAGCCGACCUGGGAGGGGGAUCGGCCACACUGGGACUGAGACACGGCCCAGACUCCUACGGGAGGCAGCAGUAGGGAAUCUUCCGCAAUGGACGAAAGUCUGACGGAGCAACGCCGCGUGAGUGACGAAGGUUUUCGGAUCGUAAAACUCUGUUGUGAGGGAAGAACAAGUACCAACUAACUACUGGUACCUUGACGGUACCUCACCAGAAAGCCACGGCUAACUACGUGCCAGCAGCCGCCGUAAAAC
rnacentral:rRNA from 1 species